rnacentral:rRNA from 1 species
UACGUAGGGACCGAGCGUUGUCCGGAUUCAUUGGGCGUAAAGAGCUCGUAGGCGGCCACUCAAGUCGAAUGUGAAACCUCGAGGCUCAACCUCGAGCCUGCAUUCGAUACUGGGCGGCUAGAGUCUGGUAGGGGGAUCUGGAAUUCCUGGUGUAGCGAUGGAAUGCGCAGAUAUCAGGAGGAACACCGGUGGCGAAGGCGGGUCUCUGGGCAGUAACUGACGCUGAGGAGCGAAAGCGUGGGGAGCGAACAGG